UCCUGCUUAGAAAGCCGUUCUGCGGGGAUGGAAGGAAAUGGGUUCGUGAUGUUGCACUCAGCACAGAACAGUAUAGUGUCGACGCAUAAACAGCCCUUUUUUAUCACUCGUUUCGACCACGAACACACACACACACACAAAUUUCACAAGUUCUUAAAUUGAACAAAAAAAAGUCGAAGACAAGAAUCAAGGGCAGUAAUAUAAUGCUAGGAAAGCAGAUGGAAGAUACAGUUUGCCAUUGUAAACUCGUCGUCUCGCGAUAUCUCAAGGUAGCGCCGACUGUGCGUAUACAAAUAAACGCGACCGAGCUGGGUUGGAGCAAUAACAGUAGGAGGAUUUACAAAAAAGGAAAUACUCCUACACUAAGAUAGCUAUUAUUAGUAUAGUUUCUACUAUAUUUCAUCUAGUACAAAAGCAGAACUAUCGAAGCAAAAGAGACAGCCACUGUGCUACGGUACCUCAUCUAUGCGGCGAUGCGAUUCAUAAAAAAAAAAGAUCAUCGUUUCUACUCAAAGACUCCGGAGGGUCAUCCCCAUUGUCCUUUCAUGAUGUUUUACCCCAUAUUGAAUGUUGUAUCUCACUCUUCCCACAACUUCCUAUUUGCCGACGGGAAUGCUGCCCGAGGGCAGAAAUUGCAGUUAACUAGCAGUCGAAGCCUGCUGGACCGUUAAAACUAGCUGGAACGAGGCUCAAGUACGGCUGGAUUAACACCGACGCACAGUAACACGGCGGAGAAUAGCUUGGUAGUUUUGUUUAUUAAAAGGGCCGUCAACCUCUUCGAGAGAGAGAAGACUAUAAUUGGUUUUUUAUGACAACAUAGCGUUCUUGGUUACGACGCGGUUCUCGGUGAUUUUUCGUACCUAAGUGAUGCCUCAUAUGCUCGCAAUACACUGCUGUGUAACACAAUGCACCAGAUGGCUAAAGCGAUAAAAACGGAAUCUUUCUCCAUUUUCAGUCGGGAAGCAGUCAGACUUCAAUAUACUUGGACUCUUUCUAAGACCUACACCUAAUAGUGUACGUAGGUGUACGUAGGUUAUGACAAGAGCUAGAGCAACUAAUAAGCCGUCCGGUCUUUCCAUUAUGUAGCCAUCGUGUGCCACCUUGACAAUAACUCAGUGUUUCUGUUCAAACGUUGAAAAAUGAAAAAGACAGUUUCCAUAGAUUCGCAGUGGCUUACUAAAUUGCGACGAAACCACUGCUUCCCCCGGUAUAAAUAACAUGAUAUGGAGUAUGUUGAUCAUAUGAAUAAAUUUAUAGUACAUAUUACUGACUAGGUCAGAAGGAAAAUGUAUUAAAAACGUUUGGACCACAAAGCGAUGGUUUGAAACGAUAUCAGUAUGGUUCUCAGGCACUGGGGAGCAACAGUGAGUGGCUGGUCAACAUGGGCCUGCAAGGAAUUCCUAGUCUAUACUACAUGAUUUGUCACCACGUCGUACAGUCUACAAUAAAAAAAAAAUUCUUAACUUAAUUAGAAGAGAGUGCGUGGAUGAGAGAUGUUGGCCCGAGUCCGCUAACACAGCGUUCAAGUCAAUGUGGCGGAUAUGCUUUCUAGUAAGCACGCGAUAUUUCAAGUAAAAGCCAGUUGGAUGCCCCUUAUCCAUUCAAGGUCCCGAACGAGGCAGAAUAUUUAUAUUGUUACCACUAGCGUACGUGCUUUAUCGCAUACACGUAGCUAUCAAUGCGCGUGAUCAGAAUGAUAAUACUAAAAGCUAGUAUACAAGCCAUCUUUACCUGGGCAAUAACAUUCAAAGAUGCUGUACCAUUAAAUGAAUUGCUUGAUCGUGUAUCUAACGUAGCAUCACCUUUGACCGCUGAAUAGAAUCUUGACCUAUUGAUAGGUGAUAAUAUUCCUAAAAAAAUAGCAAAAGAAAAAAAAUCUGAUUCUUAGCUCUCGGAAUACAGACACUAAUUCCACGGCGUCCAGAAUUUUGGGCUCAGUCCCUGAGUGAGAUUCCGUAGUUUGUUUAAAUGAUUCUGAUUUUAGCUCUCUGCAUGGUUGUAGCUCAGUGAAUAUUAUCGUUCUCAAGCAAGUAAGCUGCCAACACUGUAGAUGGUUCUAAUGAAGUAAACGCAUGGAAAUGGUAACCCAAAAGACACGCGAGCUUAAUUACCCAAGGGCUUCUACAAUAGAAUCAGUCAAAUUUGGCAAUUGUUAGUGACUCCGCUAUACUUUGAGUAUAAUAGUUUUUGCGUAUGUUCUGUCUGAAGCGCGAGUACCAGUCUACGGAUUUUACCGUUCGAAGUAACGAACCGUUAUAACAAGCUCGAAUAACGAGCUAUUGGCGACUGCAAAGAAAAGCUCUCUAUCGCUUCCCGUAAUCAGGCAGUGCGUCCCUCUGCGAAAUUUCUGUCAGGUAAUAGGUAGUUAAAAACGACGACCAUCUACAGUGCCAGUUGCAUGACGAAAAGAAUCAGUAAAUUUCAUUGAAAUCAUUUCUGCCAGGAGCUGCAUUAAAAUGUUUCAAAUAAAUUAGGACCUACAAAUACGCCGGGAGACUGCUUACGAUUGUAAAGAAAGAAAGCGUUACCGAAAAAAAAUAUCCUUCUAUACUUACGUAUAUAUGGCCUUCAUUGAAAUUCUACUGGAGUGGAACUGUAGACUAUGAUCGGAUAAAAGGAUUUCAAUUUGUUGUAGUCAAAACGCCCUAUCGAUUUUUCAUUCGAUCCAAUCUAUUUAUGACCUAAAAAAGAAUUGUCCCUAAAAAAGAACUUAGCUACGUUACUAUUUCAUUAAUUAUGUUAGAAACUUAGCUGUAAGAGGACGUUCCAUUUAGUAUAGAGCGUAAUUAUCGAUUCGCGGUGUUUCAGUGUAACAGAGACCACGCAGAAGUCACGUGGAAACAGUCGGUGAGAUGGACUGAAAUUUGCAUACAGGAUCAUUGGACGAGUAUGCUAGCUAACUGGCCACAAUGUGUGUGUAAAUAGGAAAAAAACCCAGAUGUUCGUUUGGUUCUGAAUUGCAAUGUAAUAAUAUGGCAUUCGCAACUAACGAUGAAGACACGAAACGUUUGUUUGCGUUUGCGAGCGCUUUGUUGUAAAUUGUCUGUAAACAACACGGCUAUCUUCCUCCUACUUACAUAACGCUGGCAAGCUAGAUCGCAAUAAUUAAAAAAAGCAAAACUAAGAAACUAUGAAACUAUGUUAAAGGUAAAAACAAAUAUGUUUGUUUCAAUCGAUAUUGAGCAGCAUAUUACUGAUGGAAGGUAAUUUCGCUAUGUGUAGUAAAUGGAAACGUUCUUCUAAGAUAACCGUUCGUUAGGGUGGAAACUUACUUGUACUUGUUGGCGCUACGUCAGUAGAAUGCAAACGUUCAUGUUACUCAAGUUAUAUGUGUAACGUUUAAUAAGUUACGGAAGGAGUCGCUAGGAAGGACGCUCUCUAGAAGCCUAAUCUAGCUUCAGAAAAUCUUCCCUUGCGCGUCUUCGUACAAACCUAAAUAUUCACCUACGACCUAGCACGAAAAACACUGGUUGAGAAAAGUACACGAGUUAAAAUAGGGAAGAAAAAGCCUAUCAAUAUCUGAUCAAAGAAUGUCCUGAGGAUUUGUCGCUCCUCAAUGAAUAUCCGUUGGUAUGGACUGCGUAACCUUUUGAACUCGCUGUACGUUUUGUACUCACCAUAUCAACAGUGAAUGUUAGAGGGAUACCUAAUAUCUUCGCGCAGGAUACAUUGUGAGCUUCCUUUAACUGAAUCAUAAAACGGAUAAAUGGUAAAACUAUUUACCAAUAUUCUUUCUAUUAUAACGACAUCGGUAAGGUCUCUGUCUCAAUGCUGGUUUCGUGGUCAGAUUAAAUUUCCGCUCACGUCGGAGACCGAUUUAGAUAACAUUCUCGCAGCGCACUAUGAACUUACUAUAUCGAAACAACGACUAGCCGUGUAACAUGUAGUACCGCUACGCUGAGCUGAUCGAAUAGAUAUGUUCGUAUAUAUUUAUUUAUAACUGUCCCAUUCGUUGUUAGACUGAACAUCACCGGCUGAUUUUUCAGCAGCGGCACUUGCCACUUCAAGCAUCCUCACUCCUUAACGUGUCGGCGAUACUGAUAAAUUGUAACGCUGAUUCGACAGGCCGCCAUCGAUCCGAAGCUGUUGUCUAAUGAUACUUUAAAAUAGUAUGACCCCGGUGUGGCACUACAUACGGCCGACAGUUUGAAAUAGUAGCUUUGCUCGAAAUGGCCAAGUGCGAAAUAUCGCUGUAGUCGUCUUUUCGUAUCUCGGUACAAGCUUACUGUUAUCUAGGAGUGUAAUUGAAAAACAGUGGGAAUGGACCUAAAAGCUCUGUUCGUAUGUUUUACUGGUAUAGUUUUGAUCUGUCCACUUGUGGUGGUGGCAAUCGAAGGUCUUCAGAAGCCCGGCAUUCUAUGGAACGAUCACGACGUGCUCUUACAAGGGAGACCUUUGAUUAUUCAGGUAUAGAAUAGAUCUUCAGAUCCAAUCUUUGUGGCCAUAUCGACGAGGUGUCAUUGAAAAGGACAGCGUGCUCACAGUGAGAGUGUCGACGGAUCCGUCAACGUCGCGUCACGUCGUUGGCCAGCCAGUCACAAGAGAACGUUGUUUACCAUGCACCGAUUCCAUAUAUGUAUGGAUAUGGUGCACAAAACGAGGGAGGCCACCAUUCGCAUCGCGAGGUGAGUGAUGGACUGCGAGCACGAGGAUCGUUCACGCAAACGCUCUCCGAUGGACGAACCAGAACCAUCGAGUACAUUGCUGAUGAGAAAGGCUUUCGGGUACUAGCUAUGAGGGAUGUUUACCACGACCCGAACGCUAUCCCGUCUCCGAAGCCAACGGUCAAGCCAAUUAAGGACGAAGCCAUACCGCGAUGGAAUCCCGUGCGCAGGAAACCCAGAGAGGGUGCGCAAAACUCAGUCUGAAAGUGCCAGGGCCCUUUAUGGUGAAAAUAAUUGAAAUAAUUUUUGCAAAUGGCUGGCGCUAUACAUAGUCAUUCGAUCAAUCGGAAAGCUGCCAGUGUUUCAUCUUCAGAUACUCGUUCGGUGCUUCAAUAUGUAAUUGAGCUUUCUUUCACUCACUCGUCGUUUUUCAUUCCGGAGAGACCAACAAGUACUUGGACUCUCGGACAUCUUCUUCAAAUUGAAAAGAGUCGCAAGGGACAUCUCUAUUGCUCCAGGCUUAAUAGAUUAAGAAAUAUCAUUUCAACAAACGUGUCGAUUCGAAAUGCAAUAUGGCACUAAAAUUCAGUGUAACCAACGUCGUUGUUCGCAUGCUUUUCUGCAAGCUUGCUUUUUUUUUUUGGUUUGUUCUUCUGCUGGGUGAGGAACAUCGUCUUGGAAGAUCCCGGUACUGGGUCCCCCCAUUGGAGAAUUGCUUGCAGCGUGCUAUAAGGCGCCAUGUUAGCGAAAUGUUUAUUAUCGGACAUGUCGAAAACAGGGACAUCAAAUACAACAUCUAAAGCUGCGUUAAUAAAUAUACUUUGGUAAUCGGAAUAAGCUUUGUUUGGUAAAUUCCACUUCUCGAAGCCCCAUAGCAUCCUGACUCUAGCGUCAUGUAUCGAUUACAGUAUAGGUCCUAUAGCCCUAUAAAAUAUAGAGAAUCAGCAAUAUUAACAGUAGAAAAUGACCAAAAGUGCUUUAUUAAUAAUCAUGUUUAAUACUUGAUGCAAAGAUUGCAGUAGCGACAAAUCGUGUUGAACCUUUACUUCAAUCGAUGUAUAUAUAUAUAUAUUAUAAAAAGUUAUAUUUCAUAUAUGUAACAGUGCCAACACCAACGACAGUGGGACGUCUUUCAAUGUUUUUUUCUCUAUCGCCGGCAUAUAAACGCGCAUCAGUAAUUUCGACGCUUUUUCUCACUAUCGCUCUAUAGGAGGUUUCGUAACACGUUUCAUGGUUCAAUAUCCUGUCUAUAUUGUUUCGUUAGAUGGCUGGCUAUUGUUUUUAAUUUCGUUUGUAGGUGCUUUUUAUGAGCUCGGCACAUGACGCUAUACUAUGUACACCGUCCUUCGCUGCUACACCGUUGCUUAACUUGAUGUGUACAAGAAGGGUACACCUUUUGUCUUGUCUUGUCUCGUCGACGUAUAAUCUAUCUAAUCAUGUCUAGCGCGCUUCCAUCCGAAGAAGGACUAGACUUUUUUACGACGGCUGGCUAUUUGAUUGUAGUUAUUUGUAAAUCGGGGGUGAAAGUUUGAAUGCGCGAGUUAGCAAAACACUUCGAGGGGUAGUGCGCGUGCAGAUGUGCGCCACCACGAUCGCUUCGACCUUAGCGUCGUCAUUUAUCGUUGUAAUUAUUUUAUAUCCAUUGGCUGCGAUUUGUGUUUGUCUCGAGGACCUUUACUCAUCAUCAUGAAGGUUUUCACGAGAUGAGAUAUGGGCACAUAUUUGGGUUUGUGUGGGUGUGUAUAUGUGUAGUUUAACUCGUCUAAGUUGAUGCCGACAAGAAAUGAUCGUCCUGAAGGAGUUCUUUAUAUGCCUAUGUCUACACGGGAGUAAUCCAGAGAUUGUGUAAAAUGAAACAGGGUCACGCUUUGCGGAUGCGGUCGUGGAUGAAGUGUGGUGAAAUUAUAUUGUUUAUGCUGUGCCCAUAUGUAAAUAAUGUGAUUGAUAUUAGGCUUGCAGUUUACUCGCAACCGCUUUUAUUAGAGAUGUAAAACAUGUGGGAACUCUAUCUGCGAAGACCGCAUUGAGACGUUUUUCGUAGGGGCGCAACCGUUUUCGCACGUCCCUUCGCGAGAACCCAGCUCAAAUUUGAGGACCAAGCACUGAAAAUUUAUAUUUUGAUUUGAUGCUGUAAAAUGUUUUGAGCCUUUUCGUACAUACCGCCCCAUCAAUUACGUCUGCUAUGUUUGUUUGUUUCUUAUUUUUUAGUCUCCUGUUUUCUUGGGCUGUUUGUUUGUUCUUAACGAGCCUGCAACUUACGCUCCAUUGUCGUAUAUAACAAUUUUUACGAGUGUCUUUCCCUUCUUCCCCUGUUAUCGCGUACCUCAUAAGUCGAUAUGGUAUUAGUUCGUUUUAAGUCAUUCAUAUAUAUAUAUAUAUAUAUAUAUAUAUAUAUAUACAUCAGUAAAAGACUUCGACUGUGAUUCGUAGUGUUUUAACAUUGUUAAAGGGCAGUUUUAGCUUUUUUGUAUGUACUUGAUCGAUUAUUAUGACUGAAUAUAUUUCAUUUAUUAUUUGUUGCUGUUUUACUAUGAGUAUUAUCUUCGGUCGUACUCAUUGUUAGGAUAAUUAGUUGUCAAUAUUAGUUAUUAAGCAGCUUUUUUGUAAAGUGUCGAUACGGGACGACCGCUAAGCUGAUAGACCGUGGGUGCAAUUUUUUCGUGUUUAUUUCUAAACGAAAUUAGUUAGCGUAGGUGUCGUGUUGUAAAGCGGCAUGUUCAGUACGACUCGAGAUAUUAUACAUGGGUCUUUGGGUCGGUAUUCCGACUUACCUGUGUAUCCAGUAAAUGAUGUGCUAAACACGUUUACUGGAUGCACCGGUACGUUAAAUCACAAUAAGCACAUUAAAAAUGUGCUUAUUGUGAUUUAACCCGCCGGCGACGUACAACAUCAUCACGAACGGCAAGAAGUAUAAACUUCUUCACCGUUUGUUUCAUCUGAUUUUUACUUGAACUAGUGCGAUCUAUAUAGCACGCGUAGCGGAUAGACCGCCGUGGCGUAUGUGAAAUUUCACUGAGUCACCGGUUGAGGCUAUGAACAUAUCUUGCGAGGGUUGGAUAAUAGCUGGUAAUCUAUUCGUGUGUAUAUGUGAGUCUUCUUGUUGCUGCUGUCUGCGUUCCCAUCAAUCAAUAAUCACCUCGUGUAUGCGAGGACCUGAAUGAUGAAGAUUAUUAUAAUUUUUAGUUGAACUUUUGUCAAUCCCUUCCUUACCUCUUGCCUACGUACAGAAAAUCCAGCACAAUUUACAACUGUGUAGUUAUUCUAUCUAUAUAUAGAUACGUGAUAUAUCUAUAUAUGUAUACCACCUAUCUGCUUUCAGUGGAUAAAGAUCGAAAGGUGUGUCCUCAGCUGUCGUUGUCGUGACACCGUGCCUGUCAUACAAUGGUGAAAUAAUUAGCCAUUGCAACAAAUCCUAGGGUAGGUAGUAGUAGUAGUAGUAGUAGUAGUAGUAAGAAUUGAUAUAAUAUGAAAAACGUGCGAUUCUAGCCAGCUAUCUUGAACAGUACCUAUGACCUGGUGUUUGUGAGCAGAAUUUUAUGGUGGGGUCAUAUGUUAUAAAUCAUUUCCAAAAAAACGCUGCAGCUACAUCUGUGUAGCUACUACGUACGUAUAGUAGUAUUAUAUGUCUGCAGUUACACUGUUCAAGGAAAAUGUAGAUAAUAGACUGAUACGUUUUUGUUCACCUCUUUCUUUUCGGUUAAAGUUUCAUUUGCUGGUGAGCGAACGUCAUAUACGGUCGGAGAGCUUUAAAAAGACCCCAAAUUUUACCCUGUACAAUGCAACAAUUUGAACAUUUCCAUGAGAUAAAAAUUUCCCUUAGAGGUAAAAUGACUACAUAGACUAGAAUCCAAUUUAGGGAAAAUCGGGAGACAAACAGAAAAAGCUUAAGCGGUAACUCAUAGAUAGGGGACACAAAAUAGAACAUUAAAAUAUAUAACCCGUGAUAAAAAUAUGAGACCCAAAUCGCGUUAUGUUUCAGUAGUCUUUUAGAGUUUUUCUGCGUUUUUUUUUCCCAACGAACCUCUAUAAAAACCGCUUCAGUGGAUUUUCUUCGUCGAUCUUUUUUUCUACUUAUUAACAUAUAUUGUUACGGAAUACUCCUUUUUUUUUCCUUUCUCCUUUUCGAAAAUGGGCUUUGCGCGACAAAACGACGGCAGCAGCCUCCGAAAAAAAAUCUCCCCAACGAAAAAUUAGAAGCAAGGAAUACGUAAGAACGGCUAAGGAAGUUGCAUCAACUAAAUGCAUUUCCGUUGACGGUUGCAAUAAUUAGAGCCACGUUUCAAAGCAUAACUCAAGUCUAAGUUGACUCCUAUAGAAUUUGCUGGUAAAAUCAGAUAGUCUGGCGGUUAUUUAGAAUCGAACAGCCACUUCAGUCCUAUAAUAAUGUCUAGUAUAACAGCUAUUAUAGGCUAUAGGUCACGAUAAGUUAUUAUAAUACGUUACUGGUAUUAAUUGAAGCAGUUCCCGUUCGUCAAAGGCGGCCUAUACUCCAAUAAUAAUGAACUUGUAUGAUUUGAUUGGUAAUUUUUGUUUUCUUCAUUGUCCGAAUAUGAUGAUCAUGACGAAGAUUAGUAAGUAUUGCUGCCUUUCAGGAUUAUUGCCGUACUUUAAUGCGUUCGAUGGGUCGUAACGUCACACAUUUACUUAGCUCGAUUACUACCGUUGUCAAUAUUUGUGGUAACUUGAACAACGAUCGUAAAUAAGUAAUUAUAUUAUUAUUGCUAUGAUAUUAUAUAUACAAGUGACAGAACGGUAACAAUGGCCAACGGUAUUCGGUACAUUGAGAGUUCGCUGUAUGAAAUAUGAAGGGGCUAUCUGGUUGCUGGAAAGCUGCUGGGGCGUAGUUGUCGAAGGGCCUCCUCCAUCUAUAAAAAGUAUCUUGCUGUUGAUGGCUAAUAUGCCCCCCGAAUGCUAGUGCAAUUAUUGGCGAUCGCAUAUAGAAACUCAUUACGUUGCUAUUGGCAUACUUAUGAAAUCAAUUACUGUUCAAAAACUGCAAUCGUGCUCAUCAACGUUCUUCUGUUAGCAAAGGGCGUUGUAAAAAAAAAAUCAGUUUUUUUCCCACGUCCCCUUGGCUAAUGUCUACAAAGAUAUGUCAGCGUAUAUAUAUAAUAGCUUUUUCAUUGUCAUAAUAUUUUGGUUUUAGUAAUAAGUUAUCGAUAGGCAUCUUCGUCAUCAUGACGAACUGUUUAGUAUGAUAGAACAACAGCGAUAAUGACAGUAACAAGUUUGCUCCAUAAAUUGGUCUGAGCUGAACCCGACGUAUCACUUAGGACUUUAUUGCCUUACAUUUAUGGUCGUUGCGAUCAGUUACUUUGAGCUGAUAUCCGAUCAAGCUUUAAUUAUCGGUAAUGUCUAUCAGAUAUCCUUAUUUGAUACUCAGCUAUUACCAUUAUCAGGCAAAGGAAAAUUUUAUUUAACUGGAAAGUCUGCACAGGUCUAUGCUGUAACGUUAUCGCCGGAUCGUCGCUCGUAAUAUCCUGUACGUGGCAUAAGUGAUGUUGCAUUUCUCUCUAUUCAAUUGACGGGGCAAAAAGGUAACAAUGGUUCCGUUGUAACGAAUCCUUUACAGCAUUUUCAUAUCGUCACUGUAUCUGUGCAUCUGCAUAACGCGGUCUCCUCGAGUGCCCGCUUUGAUUUUCCCAGGGUUAAUUCAUAUCAAGAAGUGCUAUGUUCCAUUACUGCUCCUUAGUUGUCCUCAAAAAUCUGUCGCCGCUACGACUCGUGGACCUCAACGAAAAUUCAAACUGACCACUGAGUAUAGGCCCGAUUGGUUGUAGUGUUGAGUUCAACUUUUUCCUCAGGAAAUAUCAAUGGCCUUGUCUUAAAAUUCCAACUUGCUCGCCGUAAUCGAUGAAAAGGAGCGAAAGAGGGGCUUCUGAUCUUCAGCCGUCACGUAUGCGCUAUUUGGCUGGGCAUGUGUGCGAUUGAUUCGAGUAGAUGAAUUAAGUAUGGAACUGGGCAUGUCUGCGUGUGGGCCGUUCGAAAUUAAAUGAAUGCUAACGCGCCAUCAGUUCGGCACUCACAACCAUCGAAUGAAAAAAAAAUGUGUUGCGAGGGUUAUUGG